rnacentral:rRNA from 1 species
GUGUCAGCCGCCGCGGUAAUACGGAGGGAGCUAGCGUUGUUCGGAAUCACUGGGCGUAAAGCGUGCGUAGGCGGUGACUCAAGUCAGAGGUGAAAGCCUGGAGCUCAACUCCAGAACUGCCUUUGAAACUAGGUCGCUAGAACAUCGGAGAGGUGAGUGGAAUUCCGAGUGUAGAGGUGAAAUUCGUAGAUAUUCGGAAGAACACCAGUGGCGAAGGCGGCUCACUGGACGAUUGUUGACGCUGAGGCACGAAAGCGUGGGGAGCAAACAGGAUUAGAUACCCUGGUAGUCCACGCCGUAAACGAUGAUAACUAGCUGCCGGGGCACUUGGUGUUUCGGUGGCGCAGCUAACGCAUUAAGUUAUCCGCCUGGGGAGUACGGUCGCAAGAUUAAAACUCAAAUGAAUUGGCGG